rnacentral:rRNA from 1 species
GAAGCUUUUAGCUUGCUAGAAGUGGAUUAGUGGCGCACGGGUGAGUAAGGUAUAGUUAAUCUGCCCUACACAAGAGGACAACAGUUGGAAACGACUGCUAAUACUCUAUACUCCUGCUUAACACAAGUUGAGUAGGGAAAGUUUUUCGGUGUAGGAUGAGACUAUAUAGUAUCAGCUAGUUGGUAAGGUAAUGGCUUACCAAGGCUAUGACGCUUAACUGGUCUGAGAGGAUGAUCAGUCACACUGGAACUGAGACACGGUCCAGACUCCUACGGGAGGCAGCAGUAGGGAAUAUUGCGCAAUGGGGGAAACCCUGACGCAGCAACGCCGCGUGGAGGAUGACACUUUUCGGAGCGUAAACUCCUUUUCUUAGGGAAGAAUUCUGACGGUACCUAAGGGAAUAAGCACCGGGCUAACUCCGUGCCAGCAGCCGCGGUAAUACGGAGGGUGCAAGCGUUACUCGGAAUCACUGGGCGUAAAGGGCGCGUAGGCGGAUUAUCAAGUCUCUUGUGAAAUCUAAUGGCUUAACCAUUAAACUGCUUGGGAAACUGAUAGUCUAGAGUGAGGGAGAGGCAGAUGGAAUUGGUGGUGUAGGGGGUAAAAUCCGUAGAUAUCACCAAGAAUACCCAUUGCGAAGGCGAUCUGCUGGAACUCAACUGACGCUAAGGCGCGAAAGCGUGGGGAGCAAACAGGAUUAGAUACCCUGGUAGUCCACGCCCUAAACGAUGUACACUAGUUGUUGGGGUGCUAGUCAUCUCAGUAAUGCAGCUAACGCAUUAAGUGUACCGCCUGGGGAGUACGGUCGCAAGAUUAAAACUCAAAGGAAUAGACGGGGACCCGCACAAGCGGUGGAGCAUGUGGUUUAAUUCGAAGAUACGCGAAGAACCUUACCUGGGCUUGAUAUCCUAAGAACCUUUUAGAGAUAAGAGGGUGCUAGCUUGCUAGAACUUAGAGACAGGUGCUGCACGGCUGUCGUCAGCUCGUGUCGUGAGAUGUUGGGUUAAGUCCCGCAACGAGCGCAACCCACGUAUUUAGUUGCUAACGGUUCGGCCGAGCACUCUAAAUAGACUGCCUUCGUAAGGAGGAGGAAGGUGUGGACGACGUCAAGUCAUCAUGGCCCUUAUGCCCAGGGCGACACACGUGCUACAAUGGCAUAUACAAUGAGACGCAAUACCGCGAGGUGGAGCAAAUCUAUAAAAUAUGUCCCAGUUCGGAUUGUUCUCUGCAACUCGAGAGCAUGAAGCCGGAAUCGCUAGUAAUCGUAGAUCAGCCAUGCUACGGUGAAUACGUUCCCGGGUCUUGUACUCACCGCCCGUCACACCAUGGGAGUUGAUUUCACUCGAAGCCGGAAUACUAAAC